ensembl:scaRNA small Cajal body-specific RNA 6
AGUCAGUGAUGAAUACUGAAAGGUCUGACUCCCAGGGUCUCCUCCUUGCACCUUUGGCAUCCCACUGGGCUCCAGUAGUGCUGCGGUGGGCAGAAGGGCUGCUGGUGCUGGGAGACGCCCCAGUUCUGUGUUCCUUGGCUAGCACCCCGCAGCUAGCCACGAAAAGAUUUGAUUGUUGGGAGUGCUGGUAUCUGUGGUUAUGGUCUGACAUUUCAAGCUGAGACC